rnacentral:rRNA from 1 species
UACAGGGGGUGCAAACGUUGCUCGGAAUCAUUGGGCGUAAAGCGCACGUAGGCGGUCUGUUAUGUCGGAUGUGAAAGCCCUCGGCCUAACUGAGGAAGUGCAUCCGAAACUGGCAGGCUAGAGUACUAAAGAGGGUCGCGGAAUUCCCGGUGUAGAGGUGAAAUUCGUAGAUAUCGGGAGGAACACCGGUGGCGAAGGCGGCGACCUGGGUAGAUACUGACGCUGAGGUGCGAAAGCGUGGGGAGCAAACAGG